CAGGCUUCUGGGUGGAUGGGGCCCAGCACCCACAGCCUAGGCUGGCUGCCUGAGAGUAGCGAGUGACAGGUAAGGGCUCUGAACCUUCCUGCGUGCUACCCAAGGAGUGCCUAGGGCUACCAGGAGGCCCAGGGAGGAACCUUGAGACCUGAGAAAGGCUUUUCUUCCCCGAGAGGACCACUGCUCAGGCUCAGAGGCCAUGGGGUGAAGUGCACAAAAAAGUGGGCGUCCAGCCAUGCUCUAAGUCCCCCGAAGAUGAAGACCAGGGAGCAGCUUCCUCCAAUGAAGCAGCAGCAAUCAGAGGACCAGGAGGCUGAAGCCCUGAGCCCAGCCAGAGGCAGGAUCAGCCAAGUCUGGGACAGGCUUCAAUUAUUUUAGGAGCUUCUGGUUCCUGGGCCUUCAGACUUGGACUAGAACUUCACUACCAGCUUUCCUGGGUCUCCAGCUUGCAGAGAGCAGAUCGCAGAACUUCUUAGCCUCCAUAAUCACAAGAACGUGUUUGCUUCCCCUUCCACCAUGAUUGUAAGUUUCCUGAGGCCUCCCCAGUCCUGCAGAACUGCUUUGAAGAAGACCACUGCGUCGGUAUUUGUGAAAUGUUUUGAGCCUCUGGAUUUAAAUAAGGUUGGCACCGCUUCUGUUGCUUCCAGGAAGAUUGCAUACACAUGUAAAACCGGAAAAACGUUAAUGAAGAGAAAAACUAAAAGCUCCCGCCCCCACCCAGGCCUGCUCAGAAGAACCCAAGCCACUCAGAAGCAGGAGGCAGCCUUCACCCCAACCAGACCAAUAUCCGUUCCAGACUCAGGAUUACAACAAUCUGGGAGAGGGUCAACCAAGUCAGAGUCCCACAUGGCAGAAGAGCUGCUUUAGCUUAAGACUCUUAACUCUUUUUCUUCGGGGCAGGAAAGGUUUGAGCCAAUGAAGGAUGAGGCUUUCCAGGCCCAGGACACAACCUUGAUCCAAGGCCUAGUUGUGGCUUUAAUUUUUGUAAAUCAAGCCUCAAGUUUUUCUUCACUCUUUUAGCCAAAGAUAUGUUUCCCAGGAUGCAUGAAAUAAAUAAAUAAAAUGUACCAA
rnacentral:lncRNA from 1 species